rnacentral:rRNA from 1 species
UACGAGGGGGGCGAGCGUUGUUCGGAAUUAUUGGGCGUAAAGGGUGCGUAGGCGGUUUGGUAAGUCUUAUGUGAAAUCUACAGGCUCAACUUGUAGUCUGCAUGAGAAACUGCCGGGCUUGAGUAUGGGAGAGGUGAGUGGAAUUCCUGGUGUAGCGGUGAAAUGCGUAGAUAUCGGAAGGAACACCUGUGGCGAAAGCGGCUCACUGGACCAUAACUGACGCUGAGGCGCGAAAGCUAGGGGAGCAAACAGG